UGGGGAAUAUUGCACAAUGGGCGCAAGCCUGAUGCAGCCGUGCCGCGUGUAUGAAGAAGGCCUUCGGGUUGUAAAGUACUUUCAGUCGGGAGGAAGGUGUCAAGGUUAAUAACCUUGGCAAUUGACGUUACCGACAGAAGAAGCACCGGCUAACUCCGUGCCAGCAGCCGCGGUAAUACGGAGGGUGCAAGCGUUAAUCGGAAUUACUGGGCGUAAAGCGCACGCAGGCGGUUGAUUGAGUCAGAUGUGAAAUCCCCGGGCUUAACCCGGGAAUUGCAUCUGAUACUGGUCAGCUAGAGUCUUGUAGAGGGGGGUAGAAUUCCAUGUGUAGCGGUGAAAUGCGUAGAGAUGUGGAGGAAUACCGGUGGCGAAGGCGGCCCCCUGGACAAAGACUGACGCUCAGGUGCGAAAGCGUGGGGAGCAAACAGG
rnacentral:rRNA from 1 species